rnacentral:rRNA from 1 species
AUUGAACGCUGGCGGCAGGCUUAACACAUGCAAGUCGAGCGGGGGAAGGUAGCUUGCUACCGGACCUAGCGGCGGACGGGUGAGUAAUGCUUAGGAAUCUGCCUAUUAGUGGGGGACAACAUCUCGAAAGGGAUGCUAAUACCGCAUACGUCCUACGGGAGAAAGCAGGGGAUCUUCGGACCUUGCGCUAAUAGAUGAGCCUAAGUCGGAUUAGCUAGUUGGUGGGGUAAAGGCCUACCAAGGCGACGAUCUGUAGCGGGUCUGAGAGGAUGAUCCGCCACCAUGGGACUGAGACACGGCCCAGACUCCUACGGGAGGCAGCAGUGGGGAAUAUUGGACAAUGGGGGGAACCCUGAUCCAGCCAUGCCGCGUGUGUGAAGAAGGCCUUAUGGUUGUAAAGCACUUUAAGCGAGGAGGAGGCUACUCUAGUUAAUACCUAGGGAUAGUGGACGUUACUCGCAGAAUAAGCACCGGCUAACUCUGUGCCAGCAGCCGCCUAA